GUUGUUUUCAGUGCAUCAGGAAUCCUCUCAAACAGCACUGCUGAUAUUCAAUAGCACCUCUGGUUACACGAAGAGAGAAUAAGAAAUAUAUUUCCAUGAUUUCUUCCUGGUUUUGUACUCCAGUGAAGCCUCUGUCCUUUCUUGCUAGGAUUGGCAAGGGGCCAAUCCACAGUGCCAGAGUAUGCCACAGAAGCUGUAAAAAAUCAUGGUGUGAGAAGUGGACUACACAGAAAGGGAUAAAAUCCACACCAGGGAAGCUACAAGAUGCUAGGCAAAUAAUGGGCCUGUACGCAAUAAAACUGUUUUAUAUACCACAUUGAAUGAUUUCCUCUGCCUUUGACCUUCCAUACAAUGUGGGUAGUAAAUACAACUCCUGAUGAGGUAUUGUGCCUCUGUUUACAAACAUCCAAUUCGUGAGCCAGAACAUGAAUUUAUUCCAUGCUAACACUGUACACCAACACAUUUAAAGUGGAAUGAGUGUGGCUUUGUGGUAGGUAGCUUACUCAAUAUUGUAAAUAGA
rnacentral:lncRNA from 1 species